AAUAUUGGACAAUGGGGGCAACCCUGAUCCAGCCAUGCCGCGCGUGUGAAGAAGGUCUUCGGAUUGUAAAGCUCUUUAAGUUGGGAGGAAGGGCUUUAGGUUAUUACACUGCAGUGCUGACGUUACCAACAGAAUAAGCACCGGCUAACUCUGUGCCAGCAGCCGCGGUAAUACAGAGGGGGCAUGCGUUAAUCGGUAUUACUGGGCGUAAAGCGCGCGUAGGUGGUUCAGUAAGAUGGGUGUGAAAUCCCCGGGCUUAACCUGGGAACUGCUUUCAUAACUGCUGAGCUGGAGUACGGUAGAGGGUAGUGGAAUUUCCUGUGUAGCGGUGAAAUGCGUAGAUAUAGGAAGGAACACCAGUGGCGAAGGCGACUACCUGGACUGAUACUGACACUGAGGUGCGAAAGCGUGGGGAGCAAAC
rnacentral:rRNA from 1 species